AACAGGGAUUGCCCUAGUAACGGCGAGUGAAGCGGCAACAGCUCAAAUUUGAAAUCUGGCCCUUGGGUCCGAAUUGUAAUUUGUAGAGGAUGUUUUUGGUGCGGUAUCUUCCGAGUUCCUUGGAACAGGACGCCUUAGAGGGUGAGAGCCCCGUACGGUUGAAUGCCUAGCCUUUGUAAAACUCCUUCGACGAGUCGAGUAGUUUGGGAAUGCUGCUCUAAAUGGGAGGUAAAUUUCUUCUAAAGCUAAAUACCGGCCAGAGACCGAUAGCGCACAAGUAGAGUGAUCGAAAGAUGAAAAGCACUUUGAAAAGAGGGUUAAAUAGCACGUGAAAUUGUUGAAAGGGAAGGAUUUAUGACCAGACUUUUUCUAGGCGAAUCAUCCGGUGUUCUCACCGGUGCACUUCGUUUAGUUUAGGCCAGCAUCGAUUUUCGAGGCGGGAUAAAAGCUUCAGGAAUGUGGCUCCCUCGGGAGUGUUAUAACCUGUUGUAUAAUACCGCCUUGGGGAUCGAGGUACGCGCUUCUGCAAGGAUGCUGGCGUAAUGGUUAUCAAUCACCCGUCUUGAAACACGGACCAAGGAGUCGAACAUUUGUGCGAGUGUUUGGGUGUUAAACCCUCACGCGUAAUGAAAGUGAACGGAGGUGAGAGCCCUUUACGGGGUGCAUCAUCGACCGAUCCUGAUGUCUUCGGAUGGAUUUGAGUAAGAGCAUAAAUGUUCGGACCCGAAAGAUGGUGAACUAUGCGUGGAUAGGGUGAAGCCAGAGGAAACUCUGGUGGAGGCUCGCAGCGGUUCUGACGUGCAAAUCGAUCGUCAAAUCUGCGCAUGGGGGCGAAAGACUAAUCGA
rnacentral:rRNA from 1 species